rnacentral:rRNA from 1 species
UACAGAGGGGGCAAGCGUUUGUUCGGAAUUACUGGGCGUAAAGGGCGCGUAGGCGGCCUUCUAAGUCGAACGUGAAAUCCCCGGGCUCAACCCGGGAACUGCGUCCGAUACUGGAAGGCUUGAAUCCGGGAGAGGGAUGCGGAAUUCCAGGUGUAGCGGUGAAAUGCGUAGAUAUCUGGAGGAACACCGGUGGCGAAGGCGGCAUCCUGGACCGGCAUUGACGCUGAGGCGCGAAAGCCAGGGGAGCAAAGCGGG